AAUAUUGCGCAAUGGAGGGAACUCUGACGCAGCGACGCCGCGUGAGCGAUGAAGGUCUUCGGAUCGUAAAGCUCUGUCCUUGGGGAAGAAGGUCUUCGGACUUGACGGUACCUAAGGAGGAAGCCCCGGCUAACUACGUGCCAGCAGCCGCGGUAAUACGUAGGGGGCAAGCGUUAUCCGGAAUUACUGGGUGUAAAGGGUGCGUAGGCGGUAAUGAAAGUCAGGUGUGAAAGCCCGAAGCUCAACUUCGGGAUUGCACUUGAAACUUCAUAACUAGAGUACAGGAGAGGUGAGUGGAAUUCCUAGUGUAGCGGUGAAAUGCGUAGAUAUUAGGAGGAACACCAGUGGCGAAGGCGACUCACUGGACUGUAACUGACGCUGAGGCACGAAAGCGUGGGUAGCGAACA
rnacentral:rRNA from 1 species